rnacentral:lncRNA from 1 species
GAUUGACAUGUAGGAAAAAAAUACUAUAAAAUGAGAAUAUAAAAAAUAAUAAUUAAUGAAGUAAUAUGUAUUUCUAUUUCUACUAUAAUAUCUUUAUAAAUCUGAUAAUGAUUUAAUGGAAAGGAAAAAAUUUGCCUUCCAACAAAUUUUUUUUUUUUUUUUUGGGAAGAACCUUCCAACAAAUUUAAUCAUUCAAAAAAGGAAAAAAAAUGGAAAUUCAAUCGGGAAAUAGGAAAUAAUGAUCUAGAUGAAUUAAAAGGCAAGUGAUGGUGUGAUGUUGGUUUUACUUUCCACACAAAUAAGGAACGCACACACAAAGAAAAAAAAAAGACAAAACAAGUAAAUAAGAAGGAAAGAAAAGAGGGACAUGCAGAAAUAGAGAGAGAAGAUGAUAGAGAUGAGGCAGAGAAACAAGAGAGACAAGGCAGAAAGCCUGCAACCCGAGAAACAAAAAGGUAGUGACCCCAAUGAGAGCAAAAGUAGACCAAAACAUUGAGGACUAUCUUAUCUUCUCUUGAUCUAUUUCUGUUUGAUUUUAUUUUGUUUUUGGCUACAUUGGCAAUUCUGUUGAGGCUUACGCCUCAACCCUGAAGGUGAGGAAAGCGCCCUUGAGGCGUGCCU